rnacentral:rRNA from 1 species
AGGUCGUAACAAGGUUUCCGUAGGUGAACCUGCGGAAGGAUCAUUAUUGAAUACGAUUGGUACUGAUGCUGGCCCUUUACUGGGCAUGUGCUCGUCCAUCUAUUUAUCUUCUCUUGUGCACAUCUUGUAGUCUUGGAUGAACCCUUGCGCAUUCGUGCGGUCUGGGAGCUGCGAAUUAAAACCUUUCUUCUCCUGCUUGUCCAAGGCUAUGUUUUCAUAUACACUAUAAAGUUACAGAAUGUCAAUUAACGACUUGUGCUUGUCACGGUCAUUAAACCUAUACAACUUUCAGCAACGGAUCUCUUGGCUCUCCUAUCGAUGAAGAACGCAGCGAAAUGCGAUAAGUAAUGUGAAUUGCAGAAUUCAGUGAAUCAUCGAAUCUUUGAACGCACCUUGCGCCCUUUGGUAUUCCGAAGGGCAUGCCUGUUUGAGUGUCAUUAAAUUAUCAACCUUGCUCGCUUUUACCGGCUUGAGUUAGGCUUGGAUGUGAGGGUCUUUGCUGGCUUCCUUCAGUGGAUGGUCUGCUCCCUUUAAAUGCAUUAGUGGGAUCUCUUGUGGACCGUCACUUGGUGUGAUAAUUAUCUAUGCCAUCUUGACUUUGAAGCAAACUAAUGGGAACCUGCUCAUAACCGUCCUUUCAGGACAACUCUUGACAUUUUGACCUCAAAUCAGGUAGGACUACCCGCUGAACUUAAGCAUAUCAAUAAGCGGAGGAAAAGAAACUAACAAGGAUUCCCCUAGUAACUGCGAGUGAAGCGGGAAAAGCUCAAAUUUAAAAUCUGGCGGUCCCUGUGGCCGUCCGAGUUGUAAUUUAGAGAAGUGUUAUCCGUGCUGGACCGUGUACAAGUCUCCUGGAAUGGAGCGUCAUAGAGGGUGAGAAUCCCGUCUUUGACACGGACUGCCAGUGCUUUGUGAUGCGCUCUCAAAGAGUCGAGUUGUUUGGGAAUGCAGCUCAAAAUGGGUGGUAAAUUCCAUCUAAAGCUAAAUAUUGAGGAGAGACCGAUAGCGAACAAGUACCGUGAGGGAAAGAUGAAAAGAACUUUGGAAAGAGAGUUAAACAGUACGUGAAAUUGCUGAAAGGGAAACGCUUGAAGUCAGUCGCGCUGUUCAGGACUCAGCCUUGCUUUGCUUGGUGUACUUCCUGUUCGGUGGGUCAGCAUCAAUUUUGGUCGGUGGAUAAAGGCUUAGAGAAUGUGGCAUCUUCGGGUGUGUUAUAGCUCUGGGUCGCAUACAUCGGCUGGGAUUGAGGAACUCAGCACGCCGCAAGGCCGGGGACUUGUCCCACGUACGUGCUUAGGAUGCCGGCAUAAUGGCUUUAAUCGACC